AUCCAGACAAUAAGAAACUGCCAAAGACUUUGAAUUACCUGUGUAGCGUGUAGACUAGCUAACAGCUAACUUACACGUUUAAUUAAUUAAACGUGUAAGUUAGCUGUUAGUAAAUGUAAUAAAUAUGGUACAAACACGCAUCUCGCUAUCGAGUGUAGAUCCAUAUAAGAUAGUCGAUCAGUAAAGCUCCUAACGUGAACACGCCUUUUAUUUAAAUGCCAUCUAACCGAACAUAUUAUAACCGGCAAACCUGAAAACAAGUGAACUUUUUACGCAUUGCAUUGUGCUAAGCAGCUUAAAGUACUUUGCGUGCUGCAAUGCGUGAAAAUAUAAUACUUGUAUGCAAGUUUCCUCAUGAUUUUUUCCUUCACCGAUUGAGACACGUGAUAAGUAUAUUAAUUUCUCAAAAUGCACAUAUAGUAGGAGAGCUGGCAAGAAUUUUUGGGUAGGUAUUUGAGGCAAGCUGAAAACUUGUCCUGUACCUCUCCUAUUAUAUCCCAAUACGAAACUGCAGACCUGGCUGGUGAGUAGCGGGGCUAAAUCAACCCCCAAAUUUUUAAAAAUAUUUUUUUUUUUUAUCCAAAAAUAUACUUGAGGCAAUUUGCAAUUUUUAUAUGUUGUAGUUUAAUAUUUAUAGAAUAUAAAAAAAAAUAAGCCAGACGAUUCAGUCGGGGUUUUAACAUUGCCAGGCGCGUUCAAAAAUAUUUUGCAAAAAAAUAUAAAAAAUGUAUUUGAGGCAACUUGAAAUUUUAAUAGAGUAUUAUUUAUAACUAAAAAAUAAGACUCUCAAAAAGACAGAUCAUUUCGGUGGGACUUUUUACCUGCCAGGUGAAAUACAAAUAAAAAAUAAAAUACAAAUUUUGUAUGGGUGCGAGUGCGAAGCGCUAUAGACAAACUGUAGAGUGAGAUAGAGCGUUUAUCGGCAAAAAGCUUUAACAGAUCUUGGAGUUGCACAUAUUACCGGAUCACGUGAAGAAAUUUUGACAAUUUUGGAAGCAUUUAUUUGUGAAAUUUAUGGAUAUAAAAAUAUAUCAAAUAUAAAUGCAGCACGGUUUCAAAAAUUUUGUGUAACUUACAAAGCUAACACUGAAGAUAUGAACCUUUCAAAAAAACUUUAAAAAAUUGUGAUCCCUCUACUUUACCUCCGUGCAAAGCUGAAUUACAACAACAUCUUUUAAGAACGCAAUAUAUAACGAGUAUUUGGAGAAAUGCAUAUUUGCGAUUCCCCAGCAGUUUGACACCGAAUAGAAACGGAUGGACACUUCAUGAGGAUACGCUACAUUUCCACUGGUUCGACGGAGAUUGUAUGCCGCAAUCAGUAUUCGACGCUAUUGUUCAUGAAAACAAUAAACAAAAUAAUAUUGGAAAUGAUACUACAGAUAAUGCAGGGGUAUCCGAAUUAGACACAGAUGAAUCUGAAGUUGAUUCUGAUAGCUCUGAUGAAGGAGCAUCUACAGAAGAAGAAUGACAAUUUCUUUCUGAUAUGACAGGGAAUUAAUUACAUUGAUAUUUGUAUACUCAUAAUAAUUCUGCAGCUGUAUUAUUAGUAUAUAAUUUUUCUAUUUCAAUAAAUCUGAUUUUGUAAUUUUA